UUAGAGUUUGAUCCUGGCUCAGAUUGAACGCUGGCGGAAUGCUUUACACAUGCAAGUCGAGCGGCAGCGCGGGGCAACCUGGCGGCGAGCGGCGAACGGGUGAGUAAUGCAUCGGAACAUGUCCAUUCGUGGGGGAUAACCCGGCGAAAGCCGGAUUAAUACCGCAUACGCCCCGAGGGGGAAAGCGGGGGACUUCGCAAGAGGCCUCGCGCGAAUGGGUUGGCCGAUGUCCGAUUAGCUAGUUGGUGGGGUAAAGGCUUWCCAAGGCGAUGAUCGGUAGCUGGUCUGAGAAGAUGAUCAGCCACMCUGGGASUGGGACACGSCCCAGACUCCUACGGGAGGCAGCAGUGGGGAAUUUUGGACAAUGGGGGCAACCCUGAUCCAGCCAUUCCGCGUGAGUGAAGAAGSCCUUCGGGUUGUAAAGCUCCUUUGUCCGGAACGAAACGGUUAGCGUGAAUAUCGCUGACUACUGACGGUACCGGAAGAAUAAGRACCGGCUAACUACGUGCCAGCAGCCGCGGUAAUAC
rnacentral:rRNA from 1 species